rnacentral:lncRNA from 1 species
UGUGGAAGUCGUAGUCAUUGAAGGACUUCUGACCUUCCAUCUGAAGUAGGAUAAGCUGACGAUCAAUCUCUUUGAACUUGCAUUCGUAGUCAUCAAGCUGUUGUUGCUGGAAAACUCUAGAGGUAGAACCCUCUGAAGAGCUUGAAGAUGGAGUAGCAGAAGGCAUCCAUGGCCUUUUCCCCUUCUUGAUACUAUGUGCAUGAGA